UACGAAGGGGGCUAGCGUUGCUCGGAAUCACUGGGCGUAAAGCGCACGUAGGCGGAUUGUUAAGUCAGGGGUGAAAUCCUGGAGCUCAACUCCAGAACUGCCUUUGAUACUGGCGAUCUCGAGUCCGGGAGAGGUGAGUGGAACUGCGAGUGUAGAGGUGAAAUUCGUAGAUAUUCGCAAGAACACCAGUGGCGAAGGCGGCUCACUGGCCCGGUACUGACGCUGAGAAGCGAAAGCAUGGGGAGCGAACAGGA
rnacentral:rRNA from 1 species